rnacentral:rRNA from 2 species
GUGGCAGACGGGUGAGUAACGCGUGGGAACCUACCUUUAGGUACGGAACAACAGUUGGAAACGACUGCUAAUACCGUAUGUGCCCUAUGGGGGAAAGAUUUAUCGCCUAAGGAUGGGCCCGCGUUGGAUUAGCUAGUUGGUGGGGUAAAGGCCUACCAAGGCGACGAUCCAUAGCUGGUCUGAGAGGAUGAUCAGCCACACUGGGACUGAGACACGGCCCAGACUCCUACGGGAGGCAGCAGUGGGGAAUAUUGGACAAUGGGCGCAAGCCUGAUCCAGCCAUGCCGCGUGAGUGAUGAAGGCCCUAGGGUUGUAAAGCUCUUUCAGCGAGGAGGAUAAUGACGUUACUCGCAGAAGAAGCCCCGGCUAACUUCGUGCCAGCAGCCGCGGUAAUACGAAGGGGGCUAGCGUUGUUCGGAAUCACUGGGCGUAAAGCGCACGUAGGCGGACUUUUAAGUCAGGGGUGAAAUCCCGGGGCUCAACCCCGGAACUGCCUUUGAUACUGGAAGUCUUGAGUCCGAGAGAGGUGAGUGGAACUCCGAGUGUAGAGGUGAAAUUCGUAGAUAUUCGGAAGAACACCAGUGGCGAAGGCGGCUCACUGGCUCGGUACUGACGCUGAGGUGCGAAAGCG